GUCUGCAGUCUUAAGGGCACCAAAUCCUAUUUGAUCUUGGAAGUUAAGUAUUGUUAGCCCAGGGUAGUAUUUGAAUGGGAGACCACCAAUGAAUAACAGGUGUUGUAGGCU
rnacentral:rRNA from 1 species